UCUGCCCUUCUUGCAUAGUAGCCUCCCACUACCAUAUUUUCAUAAGCAGCUUUCAAUUCUCUGGUACAAAUCCUGAUUCUGUAAUUUGGACCACCAAUUUCCAUUCCUGUUUUUGAUACAAGAAUACUCAUGAAUGAGAGCAUCUUAGAACUCAGUCCAAGGUCAAAUCUUUCAAACAAAGCGUCAUCGCUAUCAAGCUUCCCUUCUGUUAUAUCCUUAGAUAGGAAUGGAAGUUCAUUAUUCAAAAAACAAUUAAUGAUGGAGGGUAGAAAGCCUCCUCGAAUGCUAAUUUGUACCAGUUUUCCUCCUCUCUGGACCUCGGACGCGGAUCCGCGAAACUAACGAAGUCCAAUUCAUCAAGCUUAGCAACAAUUGCUUUGGAAAAUUUUGAAGGUGUGGUUGCUAAAACCUCAAGUAACUCAUGACAGUGCGAGGUGAUCACCGUUGGUAAUUUUCAAAUGUUAGCGGAAAGACAGACAUUUAGUAUCUAUUAAAAAUAUUCAAUUAUAAUUUUUCUCAUAUUUAUUUAGA
rnacentral:lncRNA from 1 species